CGCCAGACUCCUACGGGAGGCAGCAGUGGGGAAUAUUGGUCAAUGGGCGGAAGCCUGAACCAGCCAAGUCGCGUGAGGGAAUAAGGCCCUACGGGUCGUAAACCUCUUUUGCCGGGGAGCAAGGGCGGGGACGUGUCCCGGCCCGGAGAGUACCCGGAGAAAAAGCAUCGGCUAACUCCGUGCCAGCAGCCGCGGUAAUACGGAGGAUGCGAGCGUUAUCCGGAUUUAUUGGGUUUAAAGGGUGCGUAGGGGGGGUUUUAAGUCAGGGGUAAAAAUUCGGGGCCCAACCCCGUCCGGCCGUUGGAACUGGGGGCCUUGAGUGGGCGAGAAGAAGGCGGAAUGCGUGGUGUAGCGGUGAAAUGCAUAGAUAUCACGCAGAACUCCGAUUGCGAAGGCAGCGUACCGGCGCCCAACUGACGCUGAAGCACGAAGGCGUGGGUAUCGAACAGGAUUAGAUACCCGUGUA
rnacentral:rRNA from 1 species